AUUAGUAAUAGUUAAUUUGUUUUAGUUAAUAAAAUUAAUUUAAAUUUUUUAAGUGAAAUUUUAAAUUUAAUUAAUUUUAUAUGAAAAAGUUAAUGAAGCUAGAAAAUUUUAAUAAUAAACUAGGAUUAGAUACCCUAUUAUUUAAAAAGUAAAAUUCAAUACUUGAGUAGUAAUAGAUAUGAUCUUCAAACUUAAAGAAUUUGGCGGUGUUUUAGUCUAUUUAGAGGAACCUGUCCUGUAAUCGAUAAUCCACGUUGGACCUUACUAAAAUUUGUUGUCAAUUUGUAUAUCGCCGUUAUCAGAAUAUCUUAAAAGAGGAAUAAUUUUCUUAAUUUAUUAUUAUAAUUGAUGUCAGGUCAAGGUGCAGUUUAUAUUUUAGUAGAGAUGGGUUACAAUAAAUUUAUUUAAACGUUAAAUUAUUUGAAAUAAUGAUUUUAAGGUGGAUUUAAAAGUAAAAUAAUGGAUAUAAUUUAUUUGAUUAUAGCUCUAAAACAUGCACACAUCG
rnacentral:rRNA from 1 species